AACAUCGCGCACCUGCGGGAACCUGCGGAGGGAUCAUUACCGAGUUUACAACUCCCAAACCCCUGUGAACAUACCUAUACGUUGCCUCGGCGGAUCAGCCCGCGCCCCGUAAAAAGGGACGGCCCGCCCGAGGACCCCUAAACUCUGUUUUUAGUGGAACUUCUGAGUAAAACAAACAAAUAAAUCAAAACUUUUAACAAUGGAUCU
rnacentral:misc_RNA from 1 species